rnacentral:rRNA from 1 species
CCUACGGUGUGCAGCAGUGGGGAAUAUUGGACAAUGGGGGGAACCCUGAUCCAGCGACGCCGCGUGAGUGAAGAAGUAUUUCGGUAUGUAAAGCUCUAUCAGCAGGGAAGAAAAUUACGGUACCUGACUAAGAAGCCCCGGCUAACUACGUGCCAGCAGCCGCGGUAAUACGUAGGGGGCCAGCGUUAUGCGGAUUUACUGGGUGUAAAGGGAGCGUAGACGGUGCGGGAAGGCUGAUGUGAAAUGUCGGGGCCCAACCCCGGGACUGCAUUGGAAACUGUUGAACUGGAGUACAGGAGAGGUAAGCGGAAAUCCUAGUGGAGCGGUGAAAUGCGGAGAUAUUAGGAGGAACACCAGUGGCGAAGGCGGCUUACUGGACUGUAACUGACGUUGAGGCUCGAAAGCGUGGGGAGCAAACAGGAUUAGAUACCCUUGUAGUC